GAUGAACGCUGGCGGCGUGCCUAAUACAUGCAAGUCGAGCGAACAGACGAGGAGCUGGCUCCUCUGACGUUAGCGGCGGACGGGUGAGUAACACGUGGAUAACCUACCUAUAAGACUGGGAUAACUUCGGGAAACCGGAGCUAAUACCGGAUAAUAUAUUGAAACGCAUGGUUCAAUAGGGAAAGACGGUUUUGGUGUCACUUAUAGAUGGACCCGCGCCGCAGUAGCUAGUUGGUAAGGUAACGGCUUACCAAAGCGACGAUGAGUAGCCGAUGAGAGAGUAUGAACGGCCACAUUGGGAGUGGGACACGGCCCAGACUCCUGCGGGAUGCAGCAGUGUGGGAUAUUGCACAAUGGUGGGAACCCUGAUGCAGCGACGACGCGUGAGUGAAGUAGUAUUUCGGUAUGUAAAGCUCUAUCAGCAGGGAAGGUAAGGACAGUACCUAAAUAAGGAACCCCGGCUAACUACGUG
rnacentral:rRNA from 1 species